CAGGAUGAACGCUGGCGGUCUGCUUACACAUGCAAGUCGAACGGGCUCUUCGGAGCUAGUGGCGGACGGGUGAGUAACGCGUGAGAAUCUGCCUUCAGGAGGGGGAUAACGACUGGAAACGGUCGCUAAUACCCCAUAUGCCUCUGGGUGAAAAGUAAUUCGCCUGAAGAUGAGCUCGCGUCAGAUUAGCUAGUUGGUGGGGUAAGAGCCUACCAAGGCGACGAUCUGUAGCUGGUCUGAGAGGAUGAUCAGCCACACUGGGACUGAGACACGGCCCAGACUCCUACGGGAGGCAGCAGUGGGGAAUUUUCCGCAAUGGGCGCAAGCCUGACGGAGCAAGACCGCGUGGGGGAUGACGGCCUAAUGGUUGUAAACCCCUUUUCUCUGGGAAGAAGACUGACGGUACCAGAGGAAUCAGCCUCGGCUAACUCCGUGCCAGCAGCCGCGGUAAUACGGAGGAGGCAAGCGUUAUCCGGAAUUAUUGGGCGUAAAGCGUCCGUAGGUGGUUAUUCAAGUCUGCUGUCAAAGCGUGGGGCUUAACUCCAUAGAGGCAGUGGAAACUGAGUGACUAGAGUGCGGUAGGGGUCGAGGGAAUUCCCAGUGUAGCGGUGAAAUGCGUAGAUAUUGGGAAGAACACCAGUGGCGAAAGCGCUCGACUGGGCCUGCACUGACACUGAGGGACGAAAGCUAGGGGAGCGAAAGGGAUUAGAUACCCCUGUAGUCCUAGCCGUAAACGAUGGAUAACUAGGUGUUGCUCGUCAUCGACCCGAGCAGUG
rnacentral:rRNA from 1 species